GACGAACGCUGGCGGCGUGCCUAAUACAUGCGAGUAGAACGCUGAAGGAGGAGCUUGCUUCUCUGGAUGAGUUGCGAACGGGUGAGUAACGCGUAGGUAACCUGCCUGGUAGCGGGGGAUAACUAUUGGAAACGAUAGCUAAUACCGCAUAAUAGUAGAUGUUGCAUGACAUUUGCUUAAAAGGUGCAAUUGCAUCACUACCAGAUGGACCUGCGUUGUAUUAGCUAGUUGGUGAGGUAACGGCUCACCAAGGCGACGAUACAUAGCCGACCUGAGAGGGUGAUCGGCCACACUGGGACUGAGACACGGCCCAGACGCCUACGGGAGGCAGCAGUAGGGAAUCUUCGGCAAUGGACGGAAGUCUGACCGAGCAACGCCGCGUGAGGGAAGAAGGUUUUCGGAUCGUAAAGCUCGGUUGUAAGAGAAGAACGAGUGUGAGAGUGGAAAGUUCACACUGUGACGGUAUCUUACCAGAAAGGGACGGCUAACUACGUG
rnacentral:rRNA from 1 species